rnacentral:rRNA from 1 species
GCGAGGCCACCCGCCGA